rnacentral:rRNA from 1 species
GCGAACGGGAUUAGAUACCCUGGUAGUCCACGCUGUAAACGAUGUCGAUUUGGAGGUUGUGCCCUUGAGGCGUGGCUUCCGGAGCUAACGCGUUAAAUCGACCGCCUGGGGAGUACGGCCGCAAGGUUAAAACUCAAAUGAAUUGACGGGGGCCCGCACAAGCGGUGGAGCAUGUGGUUUAAUUCGAUGCAACGCGAAGAACCUUACCUACUCUUGACAUCCAGAGAACUUUCCAGAGAUGGAUUGGUGCCUUCGGGAACUCUGAGACAGGUGCUGCAUGGCUGUCGUCAGCUCGUGUUGUGAAAUGUUGGGUUAAGUCCCGCAACGAGCGCAACCCUUAUCCUUUGUUGCCAGCGGUUCGGCCGGGAACUCAAAGGAGACUGCCAGUGAUAAACUGGAGGAAGGUGGGGAUGACGUCAAGUCAUCAUGGCCCUUACGAGUAGGGCUACACACGUGCUACAAUGGCAUAUACAAAGAGAAGCGACCUCGCGAGAGCAAGCGGACCUCAUAAAGUAUGUCGUAGUCCGGAUUGGAGUCUGCAACUCGACUCCAUGAAGUCGGAAUCGCUAGUAAUCGUAGAUCAGAAUGCUACGGUGAAUACGUUCCCGGGCCUUGUACACACCGCCCGUCACACCAUGGGAGUGGGUUGCAAAAGAAGUAGGUAGCUUAACCUUCGGGAGGGCGCUCACCACUUUGUGAU